AACGCCGCGUGAGUGAAGAAGGCUUUCGGGUCGUAAAACUCUGUUGUUGGAGGAGAAUGGUCGGCAGAGUAACUGUUGUCGGCGUGACGGUAUCCAACCAGAAAGCCACGGCUAACUACGUGCCAGCAGCCGCGGUAAUACGUAGGUGGCAAGCGUUAUCCGGAUUUAUUGGGCGUAAAGCGAGCGCAGGCGGUUUUUUAAGUCUGAUGUGAAAGCCCUCGGCUUAACCGAGGAAGUGCAUCGGAAACUGGGAAACUUGAGUGCAGAAGAGGACAGUGGAACUCCAUGUGUAGCGGUGAAAUGCGUAGAUAUAUGGAAGAACACCAGUGGCGAAGGCGGCUGUCUGGUCUGUAACUGACGCUGAGGCUCGAAAGCAUGGGUAGCGAACAGGAUUAGAUACCCUGGUAGUCCAUGCCGUAAACGAUGAAUGCUAGGUGUUGGAGGGUUUCCGCCCUUCAGUGCCGCAGCUAACGCAUUAAGCAUUCCGCCUGGGGAGUACGACCGCAAGGUUGAAACUCAAAGGAAUUGACGGGGGCCCGCACAAGCGGUGGAGCAUGUGGUUUAAUUCGAAGCAACGCGAAGAACCUUACCAGGUCUUGACAUCUUUUGAUCACCUGAGAGAUCAGGUU
rnacentral:rRNA from 2 species